AGUGAACGCUGGCGGUAGGCCUAACACAUGCAAGCCGAACGGCAGCACAGUAAGAGCUUGCUCUUACGGGUGGCGAGUGGCGGACGGGUGAGGAAUACAUCGGAAUCUACUUUUUCGUGGGGGAUAACGUAGGGAAACUUACGCUAAUACCGCAUACGACCUACGGGUGAAAGCAGGGGAUCUUCGGACCUUGCGCGAUUGAAUGAGCCGAUGUCGGUUUAGCUAGUUGGCGGGGUAAAGGCCCACCAAGGCGACGAUCCGUAGCUGGUCUGAGAGGAUGAUCAGCCACACUGGAACUGAGACACGGUCCAGACUCCUACGGGAGGCAGCAGUGGGGAAUAUUGGACAAUGGGCGAAAGCCUGAUCCAGCCAUACCGCGUGGGUGAAGAAGGCCUUCGGGUUGUAAAGCCCUUUUGUUGGGAAAGAAAAGCAGCAGGUUAAUACCCCGCUGUUCUGACGGUACCCAAAGAAUAAGCACCGGCUAACUUCGUG
rnacentral:rRNA from 1 species